rnacentral:rRNA from 1 species
AUUGAACGCUGGCGGCAUGCCUUACACAUGCAAGUCGAACGGUAACAGGUCUUCGGAUGCUGACGAGUGGCGAACGGGUGAGUAAUACAUCGGAACGUGCCCGAUCGUGGGGGAUAACGAAGCGAAAGCUUUGCUAAUACCGCAUACGAUCUACGGAUGAAAGCAGGGGACCGCAAGGCCUUGCGCGAACGGAGCGGCCGAUGGCAGAUUAGGUAGUUGGUGGGAUAAAAGCUUACCAAGCCGACGAUCUGUAGCUGGUCUGAGAGGACGACCAGCCACACUGGGACUGAGACACGGCCCAGACUCCUACGGGAGGCAGCAGUGGGGAAUUUUGGACAAUGGGCGAAAGCCUGAUCCAGCCAUGCCGCGUGCAGGAUGAAGGCCCUCGGGUUGUAAACUGCUUUUGUACGGAACGAAAAGACUCUGGUUAAUACCUGGGGUCCAUGACGGUACCGUAAGAAUAAGCACCGGCUAACUACGUG